UUCUGUAUCUAUAUCCUUAUGGUGGAUAGGCUGGUGUCGGUGAUGAAUUGGACACGGUUUUGAUUACCUUCUUGUCUGCUGCAGGGCAGUUUCCGUGCCAUGCAGUGACACAGCUUGUUGGGAUGCUCUCUAUUGUACAUCUAUUGAAUGUUGUGAGUAUAGAUUUGUAUACUCCAGUUCUCCUCAGCCUUCUCAGAAAGUUGCUGAUCUUUCCUGACUGUGGCGGAUGUGUUCUGGGACCGUGAGAGAAUCCUUUUCUGAAGUUAUAUACAGUGAAUGGAGUAAAUAUGAUAUUCCUGACCUGGUGGACACCUUAGUUGACAUGGACAAGUGGACCUGAAGAGCUUGCUUCCAUCCUGUAUAGUUCCAUGACUCGAUUGAACAAAGGACUUCGGAUGUCAAUAGAGAUUCACCAUCCGAUUUGGAACAAUCGACAAAUGAGGCAAGGAUAUACAAUUUCUGUUCCAGUUCUUCUUAUACAUCAAGUUCAAAGCAGUCAAGCAUACAACAAAUGGAAAACAACCGUGGCAUUAAAAAGUGCAGACAAAGUUACAAUUGGCAAUAACUUGUAGAUGAUCACAAAUGCAACUGAAGCUGGGAAUAAAUUUCAGGCUGAGCCAUUGCUCAAUCCAAUAAAAGAUAUGGCUUGCUCUUUUUCAGAGAUGUUCUCACAUUUCUGCUUUAAUGAAAGCAACAAAUACAGAAGUUACAACCUCAAAGAAAGUUAGGAGUCAAUAGGAAACUGGAUGAUGUGAAAAGCAUGAACAACACUCAACUCUAGAAGAUGUGACAUUGAUAUUAUGUCCAUGAUAAUAGCUCAAAGCAGUUAUGGACUGUCUUUUGAAAACACCAAUUUACAUGGCAAAAAUACAGGUGUCACAAGGAUUUUGGCCCAGCAGCAAAUGAGUAAUGAUCUGCCCAGAACAGGAUUCCAAGUUACCAAAAGAUGUUGUUCCAUUGAACAAGUUUGAAUUAAGGAUUUAAGAUGAUGUGAAAUAAUGCUCAGCAAGUUGCUGUACUCUUAUUUGGCUCAUGAUUACAUUAAGGUACAUUGCCCCAACUCUUGAUGGUGUUAACAUUCAGAAAUGGCAAUAAAACAAACUACCUUGAUCUUGGAUGGCAUCUUUUUGGUGCUGCUGUAACUUUCAUAUAGGCAAAUGAAGAAUAUUCAAACACACAGACUUCCACUUUGUGGUUGAUACAGAGCUUUGAGGAUGCAUCCAAGUGGAUCUCUGACCAGUAUAUGCUUACCUAAUCCUAUAGUUUUUAGUCAAUUCCCACAUUGUUGAUAAUGAAGGUUGCAGGCAUGAAAAAUAUGGAUGAAUGCUCAGAGAAGUGGGACAUUCACUAAAGAUGGUCACUGAACAGUGCAAAUGGCAUUUGCUGAUUAUCAACCACGAGUUCGAUGUUGCCCAAGACUUUAUGUGGCAGAUAAGGAACUCAUUCACGCAAAUUGUAAACAGAAGGACAUGUUUAAAGAUGAUAAAACAUUGAAAUAAAUUAAAUAGAUUGGUCCCCAAACACUGGUUUAACCCUGUAGUGCUGCUUUGGGAAUUGGAAAUUGCAGAAGAUAAAGAUAAGCUUUAUUUGUCACAUAUACAUUGAAAUAUCAAGAGAGUGAAAUGUGUAAUUUGUUUCAUAUCAAAUUAGCAAGGAUUGUGCUUGGCAGUCCACAAGUGUUGCCAUGCUUCCAGUGCCAACAUAACUCACUAACCUAACUGUAUGCCUUUGAAAUGUGGGAGGAAACUGGAGCACCCAGAGGAAAUCCAAAACCCAUGCUAGCACGGGAGACAAAUAAACUCCUUACAGAGAGUGAUGAAAGUGAACCUGGGUUACUGGCGCUGUAAAACCAGUAAGCUAACCACUAUGCUACUGUGCCACCCCGUGUCCAAUUAUCAUACCAUAACUGGUCUCUAAUAAUCACUUGCUUGGGCUUCUUGUUGCAGACACCAUCAAAUGCUCCCAUGUUACAUAUUAUCUGCCUUUUAAAUUAUCUAUCAAUUCCCCACAUUUUACUUACGACCGAGUUACUUCUUUCAAAUACACAACAGAAAAUAAUUAUUCAAAACUCAAACCCAUUAACUGAAGUAUACAGAUUUGUUGCAGUUUCAGAGUGUUAAGAACAAAGAAGGAAAUUGGAAGUGAAGUGACCUUGAAGGCACUUAUAAUUGUACAUCUUAGAAAAUGCUAUCAGUGACAAUGCUGUGCAUUUCUUUUCCAAAUUUUCAGGUUUAAAAAAGUGUACUCUUCCAAUUUUGCCCUUAGUCCAAUCCUUAACCUAGUGUAGUGACUGAUAUCUGCUAUCUCACGAGGCACAGCAAACCACUGCAUUAAACUGCUACCACUUUAAGUCCAUAAAACAGAAAGUACAUUUUAAGUUUUAAUGAAAUCUGCAAAGCUUUCAAAAUAAAACUAAAACUAUUUGAUACCAGUUACGUACAUCAGCUACUCUGCACAGUCUAACCUCUAGUACGAUUAAAUUUUGCUGU